AUUGAACGCUGGCGGCAGGCCUAACACAUGCAAGUCGAGCGGAUGAAGGGAGCUUGCUCCUGGAUUCAGCGGCGGACGGGUGAGUAAUGCCUAGGAAUCUGCCUGGUAGUGGGGGAUAACGUCCGGAAACGGGCGCUAAUACCGCAUACGUCCUGAGGGAGAAAGUGGGGGAUCUUCGGACCUCACGCUAUCAGAUGAGCCUAGGUCGGAUUAGCUAGUUGGUGGGGUAAAGGCCUACCAAGGCGACGAUCCGUAACUGGUCUGAGAGGAUGAUCAGUGACACUGGAACUGAGACACGGUCCAGACUCCUACGGGAGGCAGCAGUGGGGAAUAUUGGACAAUGGGCGAAAGCCUGAUCCAGCCGUGCCGCGUGUGUGAAGAAGGUCUUCGGAUUGUAAAGCACUUUAAGUUGGGAGGAAGGGCAGUAAGUUAAUACCUUGCUGUUUUGACGUUACCAACAGAAUAAGCACCGGCUAACUUCGUG
rnacentral:rRNA from 1 species